rnacentral:misc_RNA from 1 species
CUGGAUACACGUAAUAGAUUUGCUGUAAUUAAUGAAGUACAAGUUAGUUACUAACAUGAUAUGAAAAUCUCUCCAUAUGGCACAUCAUUCAAACCUAUCAAAACCAGCAAACUAUAUGAUGCUGCCUAUGAUUAAAUUAUACAUGACAUGACACCUAUUACAAAGUUAAAUGCCAUGCAGCAAUCAAAACACAAGUGAUGAACAGAAUAGAUUAUCUCAAGCAUACAACCAUUUUUACCAUAUCAAGUUAUGCAAUCCAAGAAGACUAGAUUUAGGAUUGUUUUGAUUUAAUCUUUUAUUGUAAAAUUAGGAAGUUUAGAGUUUAUUUGCGAACAAUGGAGAGAUUCUGGAUUCAGCAGAAUGGAAAACAAAUACUAAAACCGGAACUUGGGAGACUCUUUUCUCUUUAAUAAUCCUCUUUAUAAUGGAUCAGCCAUAAAGGAGAAAUCUAAAGACUUGCACCGUAAAGAAAGCAAUUUCUUCUCUUGGUGCAAUAUCAACUUAUUUCAGAUAAAAGAAAAGCUUGAAAAUAACAGCUGUCUAAUAAAAAAAAUGGAAUAAUUGCUUGCUGCAAAGCCAUUGGCUGUAACCAGAAACCAGUUCUGCAAAUUACAAAAUUUGACAUCUUUGAUCCAAUAUGUCUUGUGCAGCUCAAGAGAGACAAUUACAAUCGAUCAUGAAACACCAACACAGCCUUAAGAAAAGGGAAACUCAAGUUCUCUCUCAUGCAAAGUCACAGGCAUCAAUUUAUAAACAAGCAUGAAAUGGUAAAUAUUAAAGCCUGUAACAGGUAAAGAUCAACCUCUGUCUUCUCGAUUAGUGAAGA